rnacentral:lncRNA from 1 species
AUGUUAAGGAUAUUUUCAUGUGUCUAUUGGCCAUCUGUAAGUCUUCUUUGGAGAAAUGUCUAUUUGUGUCCUCUGCCCAUUUUUUUCUUAAAUUGGAUAAUUUGUUUUUUUGGUGUUAAGCUGUGUAAGUUCUUAUAUAUUUUGGAUACUAAUUUGAUCAGAUAUGUCAUUUGCAAAUAUAUUCUCUCAUUCAGUGGGCUGUCUUUUAGAUUUGUUGUUUCCUUUGCUGUGAAGAAGCUUUUUAUCUUGAUGAAGUCCCACAGGUUCAUUUUAUCUUUUGUUUCUCUUGCCUUUGAAGAUGUGUCAUGAAAAAGGUCGCUGUGGCCAAUGUCGUAGAGGUUGUUGCCUAUGCUCUCCUCUAGGAUUUUGAUGGAUUCCUGUCUCACAUUGAGGUCUUUCAUCCAUUUGGAGUUUAUCUUUUUGUAUGGUGUGAGAGAGUGGUCAAGUUUCAUUCUUUUGCAUGUUGCUGUCCAAUUUUCCCAGCACCAUUUAUUGAAGAGACUGUCUUUUUUCCACCGGAUGUUUUUUCCUGCUUUAUCAAAGGUUAGUUACCCAAAGAGCUGAGGGUCCAUUUCUGGAUUCUCUAUUCUAUUCCUUUGGUCUAUGUGUCUGUUUUUGUGCCUUUACCAUGCUGUCUUUGUGAUCACAGCUUUGUAGUACAGCUCGAAAUCCAGCAUUGUGAUGCCCCCAGCUUUGUUUAUCCUUUUCAGCAGUUCCUUGGAGAUUCGGGGCCUUUUCAGUUCCACACAAAUUUAAGGACUAUUUGUUCCAGUUCUUUGAAAAAUGUCAUUGGUAUUUUGAUCGGGAUGGCAUUGAAAGUGUAGAUUGCUCUGGGUAGCAUGGACAUUUUAAUUAUGUUAAUUCUUCCGACCCAUGAGCAUGGAAUAUUUUUCCAUCUUUUUGUGUCUUCUUCAAUGUCUUUCAAGAGUGAUUUGUAGUUUCUAGAAUAUAGAUCACUUACGUCUCUGGUUAAGUUAAUUCCAAGAUAACGUAUGGUUUUUGGUGCUG